rnacentral:tRNA from 1 species
CGCCCGCUGGAUGAGCGGCAGCGCAUCGCCGGACACGCAAUCAGGAUAACGGCGCAACAGCCGCGCGUCCCAAUUGUGCGCGAGCGC